AUCUUUCCUAAAAUAAAGUCAUUAAGUUAUUUGAACUUUGUUUCCAGCUCAGAGAAAGGGACAAAGUUUUAUAACCACACCUCUGGAGAAAAUGGAGCUGAAAAUGAACUCGGUCUUCUGGCUCUUUGCUGUCAUGGGCUCCACUUGGAGUGCUGGUGAAGGUGUCGGACUCAAAUUGGACCAGGCCCUGCUCACCGUACACAAUAACCUCCCUCAAGAAGGUCGGCUGUUCUACGUCUCAGCAUGUUGUUACAAGCUGGAGUGAGUCCUAUGGAGAACAUGGUUGGUAUUCAGUGUUUGUCCAGCCGGGGCCUCUGGGACAGAAUGAGAGUGGAUUGCAUUGUACCUUCCAAAAGGACCGAGACCCUCAGAAUGGCUAUAUCCGUAAGUAUACUCUGGUUCGUCAAUAGUUAAUAAAUGUUUAUU
rnacentral:lncRNA from 1 species